rfam:Oryza barthii chromosome 12, whole genome shotgun sequence.
CUUUAGUACAACCAUAAGUUUUUUCCCAACUUUAAUCGUUCAUCUUAUUUAAACUUUUCUUAUAAUUAGUAUUUUUGUUGUUAUAAGAUGAUAAAACAUAAAUAAUACUUUACUCGUGACUUAUGUACUUAAAUUUUUUUUAAAUUUUUUUAAAUAAGACAGACGGUUAAAGUUGAGCGGGGAAAAUCAUAACAACACUUAAA